GCCAGCUUGGCGCAGUGGUAACGCGUCGCACUUGUACUCGAUCGAGUUAAUGCGAAGAUCCUCAGUUCAAUUCUGGGAGUUGGCA